UGUUAAGUGAGUUAGUGGCAUUAAAUAAUAAUAUAUAUAUCUUUAUAUAUUAAAAGUGCCUAUCUAACGGCAUUUCUUGGUUUAACAGAAUAUACUUUACAAAUAAAAGAAUAUUCUGUUAAAUUUAACCCCAAAAGCUUUUAACGCCGUUAACUUUAACUUUAACUUUAACGCCAUUCCGUUAACCAUUCUUCUCUUUCACGCUAUUUUCAAUUGGUCCCAAUUAGAAUUUUACUCUCAAUUCCAAUCGAGUUAAACUCAGAAUCUGGCGAUCGAUUAAACUCAGAAUUUUACCUUUUUUUUCUAUUUUUAUGCAUCUUUUUCUCACUACUGGCACUAUCAACCCACUAUUUUAUCGUCCUCCUCCAUAGGCGGCAACUUUAUUGAUUUCGGCACCAAUAACUUUCUUGGAAGGGUUUCGCGAGUCGAUCACCUUGCCUAUGGCUGAGAUUUCGAUUAACCAGCCAAGUCAGCAGCGCCCACCGACCGGUUGUUAAAUGGAAGAAUCCCGGUUGAUUAUUUUGAAGGAUGGUUCUCUGAAGCUUCUAUAAACAGGCAGGAUAAUAUAUAUCAUAUAUAAUUGUAUAUGAAGAAUUUAGAUAAAUGGGUUUAUUUAAAAUUCCAUUAGGUAGAUAGUGAGGUUUUGAGAGCUUCCAUCUUGGGCAAUGGCACCUUUAGAUUUCACUCAUAAUGCGAUUCUUAACUAUCUUAAGCACAUAAGAAGAAACUGGCUUGAAGAACAUUCUGCCUCUGCCACCCAGUAACUAUCUUUCUCUACACAUUAUGCAUUUUAAAUUAACAUGUUUUGACAUAAUUUUAGAGUUUAUAAUUUAGAAAACAAUGAAUCUUGGCAUCCAUACAAUAUAUGUGUGUUUGUUUGUAUUUAUGUCAUGCAACAACUCUAUCGUUUCACUUUGUUUGCUUACCCUUUUUAUCUGGUAAGUGAUCUCAGUUCUAGCUUUUCCUCUCUCAUUCCAUUUGUUUGUUACUUUACUAGCUUCUUAUCUUGUGGCUUUGGUAUCAUUUAUAGUGGAGUCAAAGUCCUAGAAAGAGUGUUCUUAUUUUGAUUCAAACAGUGACUAAUUGCUUGUUGCAAGUGAAAGAAAAGAUAUUGCAACUUGGACAACCAUGGUUGCUUUCUUGCUCGGUGUGCUUUCCUUUGUAAUGGGUCCUGUUCAAAUCAUUAAGCUAUUUAUAGGGCUGCUUUUUCUUUUCUUUAUGGUUAAUACAGUUGCUUUUACUUUGGAUGAAAAUUUCUCUUGUUUUUCAAUUCUGAUACCUUCCAAAUACAAAUUUGUCAUGUGGUUGGACUUGGUCACUUACUUGCAUUACUAUGUGGCCACGAGGACAAACUUCCAUGGUUAUUGAAAAUGAAUACACAUACAUAAAUAAUAUACAUUUUGUUUUAGUACUAAACUACCUCUCUGAUUAUCAAUGUGUUGCUUAGGUACUUAGGUUUAUUAAUUUUUUGUUUAAGCAAAAAACAGUUAUAUAUGUUGUAGGUGGUAUAUGAUUUCCAUUAGUAUAAUAUAAAUAGUCAAUCAAUAUGAAUAUAUAAAUUUUUACUACUGCUAAUUUUAUCUAAGUUCAAUCUAAACAAUAAAAAAUGUUGAGCAAUUCAAUCGAUUCUUUCAACUGAGGUUAAAAAAAAAAGGUAGAGUGAAAUGUAGCAGAGGAAAAGGGAUGGUGUUGGCCCAUUCAAUGGGUAAGAUGCCUUCUGGUAAUAUCUUAACUUUCACUUUGUUAUUUAGUAUUUAUAGGUAUUAUAUUGCUUUUUUUCUUUUUUGUUCUAAAAAUCUCAACUUAAUGCUCGAUUUGAGUUUGUUAGUGAAAAGGCUUAUUUCCUUAAUCUAAUUUCUUAACUUCUCUUAAUUUAGUUGACGAUUCACUCAAAUGGUUGUUUUUAUGUGUUUCUUAAUUUGUAUUGACUUUGAACUAAACAUAACAUCACUUACAAAUUGUAUCAUUUCUUAACUGUGAAUUAGGGAGUGACUACUUACUGAUUGUUUUUGAGUUAUUAUCAAUUGUCACUCUGUAGAUAGCCACUGGUUGAGAUUCCAUUAUAUCUUAGAUAUAGUUUUUAAUAUCUUUAUUGAAUUAAUGCUUCGUAAUCACUCCCACUUGUUGCGGAAAUGGGUCCAAGAGCUUUCUUAUUGAUGAAAAAGUAUAAUCUUAUUUUUCUUAUAAGCAUCUCAACGAUUAUACCAAGUUUUAUAAAAAGAAUUUAAAAUACAUACAUUUGAACUAUUUUUGGUUCUUAAUUUUCAUCUUUAUUUUUUAUUACUUAUCUUUAUUUUUGAUACUGGGUGAAAUUUUGUUAGUUUAGAUCUCCAUCUCUGUGUACUACUCUGUAUUCUUUGAUUAAGAAUGUGAAAGUACAUUUGAUUUAAUUCAUCUAUUAUUCUUUUGCUGAGAAAUUCAAUUAAUCUAUUAUUGCUUUUACUUUUAUUUUUUAUUGUUUGAAAAUUUAAGGUUUUAAUUUCAUUGUAGAAGUUAAAGAGAUGAUAAAACGAAGAAUAUGCAAAGAAUGAGGACCUUCAAAAGAUUAAACUGACAUCAUCACUGCUAUUUUUGGGACACUGUAAGUUUGAAAUAACCCACUUGGAUUUGGUCAUGAUUUUGAUUACUGCCUUUUUGGAAUCCCAUAUCUGAUACAAAUUUCAAUUGACUUUCUAAGUGAUUAUUAUUUGGCUCUUGAGUAAAUUUUUAGUGGCAAGUGGUCCGAGAAGGCAAGUGUUUAUAGUUUUAGAAUUCUUGUCUUUUAAGUAGUAUGUGGAAGAAAGAACAAUUCUUCCAAUAAAAGUCCAAACCCCUGUUGUGCAGAUGGUAAGCUCUUUGUUUCAAACAUAGGUUAAAGACGGUCAUAAAUAAUGUGAUAAAGACCAUUAUGUAAAGGUUUGGAGCCAUUAUGGAAGCAGUACACUUGGUGAAUUAGUUGAUCCAAGCCUAGGAGGUAAUUUUCAAGCUGAGGAGCAUCUUGGUUGCUCCAAAUUGGGCUAAUUAGUGUACAAGCCUCUGCUGAGCUACGACCAUGCAUUUGUUGUGGAUCUGCUUACCGAAAAUCAUGAGAUUCCGUAGCCAACACAACCACCUUUUUCUGAGCUCAAUCUCCACAGAAAUUGGCCAUGGCAUCUCUUCUAACUAAUACUAUUCUUCUAGGCGUGAAUCUAACACGCAGUCUUCUGGGAACAAGAUGAAAUGAUCAUUUAUUUUCUUCUUUCUGAAUCACUUUGUGUAUUGCUUCCACAUUCUAUACAUACAAGGCUCCAUUGGCUUUUAUUCGAGAUGUCCCUUUACUAAUCUUUUGAUUCUUUC